rnacentral:rRNA from 1 species
GUUGGGUAGGGGAGCGUUCUGUAAGCCUGCGAAGGUGUACUGUGAGGUAUGCUGGAGGUAUCAGAAGUGCGAAUGCUGACAUAAGUAACGAUAAUGCGGGUGAAAAACCCGCACGCCGGAAGACCAAGGGUUCCUGUCCAACGUUAAUCGGGGCAGGGUGAGUCGACCCCUAAGGCGAGGCUGAAAAGCGUAGUCGAUGGGAAACGGGUUAAUAUUCCCGUACUGGUGGUAACUGCGAUGGGGGAACGGAGAAGGCUAGGUUGUCCGGGCGACGGUCGUCCCGGUUCAAGCAGGUAGGCAGAGUGAUUAGGCAAAUCCGGUCACUUAAUGCUGAGAUGUGAUGACGAACCACCAAGGUGGUGAAGCAAUUGAUGCCCCGCUUCCAGGAAAAGCCUCUAAGCUUCAGGUUACCAACAAUCGUACCCCAAACCGACACAGGUGGUCAGGUAGAGAAUACUCAGGCGCUUGAGAGAACUCGGGUGAAGGAACUAGGCAAAAUGGUGCCGUAACUUCGGGAGAAGGCACGCUGGCGGUAAGUAAAGUCCCUCGCGGACAGAGCUGAAGCCAGUCGAAGAUACCAGCUGGCUGCAACUGUUUAUUAAAAACACAGCACUGUGCAAACACGAAAGUGGACGUAUACGGUGUGACGCCUGCCCGGUGCUGGAAGGUUAAUUGAUGGGGUUAGCGCAAGCGAAGCUCCUGAUCGAAGCCCCAGUAAACGGCGGCCGUAACUAUAACGGUCCUAAGGUAGCGAAAUUCCUUGUCGGGUAAGUUCCGACCUGCACGAAUGGCGUAAUGAUGGCCAGGCUGUCUCCACCCGAGACUCAGUGAAAUUGAACUCGCUGUGAAGAUGCAGUGUACCCGCGGCAAGACGGAAAGACCCCGUGAACCUUUACUAUAGCUUGACACUGAACAUUGAGCCUUGAUGUGUAGGAUAGGUGGGAGGCUUUGAAGUGUGGACGCCAGUCUGCAUGGAGCCAACCUUGAAAUACCACCCUUUAACGUUUGAUGUUCUAACCUAGGCCCAUAAACUGGGUCGGGGACCGUGUCUGGUGGGUAGUUUGACUGGGGCGGUCUCCUCCUAAAGAGUAACGGAGGAGCACGAAGGUUGGCUAAGCAUGGUCGGACAUCAUGCGGUUAGUGCAAAGGCAUAAGCCAGCUUGACUGCGAGAGUGACGGCUCGAGCAGGUACGAAAGUAGGUCUUAGUGAUCCGGUGGUUCUGAAUGGAAGGGCCAUCGCUCAACGGAUAAAAGGUACUCCGGGGAUAACAGGCUGAUACCGCCCAAGAGUUCAUAUCGACGGCGGUGUUUGGCACCUCGAUGUCGGCUCAUCACAUCCUGGGGCUGAAGUAGGUCCCAAGGGUAUGGCUGUUCGCCAUUUAAAGUGGUACGCGAGCUGGGUUUAGAACGUCGUGAGACAGUUCGGUCCCUAUCUGCCGUGGGCGUUGGAAGAUUGAGAGGGGUUGCUCCUAGUACGAGAGGACCGGAGUGAACGCACCACUGGUGUUCGGGUUGUCAUGCCAAUGGCAUUGCCCGGUAGCUAAGUGCGGAAGAGAUAACCGCUGAAAGCAUCUAAGCGGGAAACUUGCCUCGAGAUGAGUCUUCCCUGUCGCUUUAAGCGACCUAAAGGAACGUUUAAGACUAAGACGUUGAUAGGCUGGGUGUGUAAGCGUAGCGAUACGUUGAGCUAACCAGUACUAAUGAACCGUGAGGCUUAACCUG